rnacentral:RNase_P_RNA from 1 species
GCUGCGGGCUGCUCUAUCGCGGCCCUGACAUUUAUCGUCAGGGAUGAGGAAAGUCCGGACAACGUAGAGCGCCACGCCACCUAACGGGUGGGGCGUGACCGUCAGCGUCACGUACAGAAAGUGCCACAGAAAGCUAGACUGCCGACGUCUUGGCGAUAAGUGGAAGCGGGCUUUGCCCGCCGAAGCUUUAGCGAAGGCGGGUAAAGGUGAAAACGUGCGGGGCCUACGCCCUUAAUGUAAGAGCGCACGCCGGGCAGUAGCAAUACGGCCCGGGGGUAAACCUCGUGGGUUGAAAUGUCACGUACACCACGAUUCCUGCCCCUGGCGAUUCUGCCAGGGAAGGGAGGCGGGUUGCUCGCCUGCUUGUGAAAACAGUCGUGGGGGGUAGGCAGAUAGACCCUGGCGGUGACGUCAGGGCUAGAUAAAUGAUAGAGACCCUGACUUGAGCACCGCUCAACGUCAGGGAACAGGAUCCGGCUUACAGGCCCGCAGCAUUU